rnacentral:sRNA from 1 species
GAGAACUUGCUGUGGUUGUGAGCUGGACACCACAGCCCAGAAGCCUGAGCAGGAACAGUGAAAGGAGGGGGUUUAUCAUAUCAUCGCAAGCUGAGAGGAAGGCUGUUGGGGGAUACAUGCAGCUGGAGGAAGAAUGCUUAGGGCAUACGUGUAGCUUGUUUGUUCUUUACAAAGCAUUUGGGAGAUUUGCCCUGAGGGAAAGGUGAACAUGGGAAACCUUACCCCCUUACUGAAGAGGACCAUGAUGACUCAGCUUACAGGGAAAAUGGUUUUAAUAUUUUCGUCAGCAACAAUAUUGCUCUAGAGAGGUCUCUGCCAGAUAUUCGUCAUGCUAACUGUAAGCAUAAGAUGUAUCUGGAAAGGCUGCCAAACACCAGCAUCAUUAUCCCAUUUCAUAAUGAAGGUUGGACUUCACUCCUGCGGACCAUACACAGUAUAAUUAACCGAACCCCAGGGAGUCUGAUAGCAGAAAUCAUUCUAGUAGAUGACUUCAGUGAGAGAGAUUGGUGGAAAUCAACAAGCUGAAAAAACUAAAGUUCAACAUAUUUAAACACUUGGGAAGCAGGACCUGCUCAGAUCCAGCACGGUGCCAGCACGUUGUAGGCCUUUGCUAAAAGCAUGGUGAAUGGAUGAAUGAAUAAAUCAGAUGAUGGGAGUCACAGUCCACUUGCACUCCAAAGUUUGAGAAGCACUAGUCUACGCUGUAUUUGCAGCUCUUGUGGACUCCAGCAAGAAUUGUGUAACUAUUGCCUUCUAGUGAAAGCCACUGUAUGCCAGGAGGCAGAUUCUGAGGAGGGUGAAUCACCGUGGAUAUAGCAGAGAAAAGCAGGCAACUGGUGGACAUUCUAGUGCCACCUCACUUCAUUUCCAAAGCUAUUCCCACCAAGUUUAGCCUAUGAGAAUGAUAAGUCCACUUGCUGCGUAUGUGGAGUUCAGGCUGUGUCCUCAAAUCCUCUACUCACUCCUUUCUAGGCUUUCCCUAUCAUGCCCACAUCUUCCUUCCUCUGUCACUUCAUGUGGGGUAGUGGAGCGACUCCUAGCGGAAUCUGUGUUCCAUUAGCAUUACAGCUACUCACUGAAACUAUUGCACUCUCCUCCCUUCUACUGGCUCCAUCACCUGUGUUAGGAGCUCCCUUCACCAAGUCUUCCACUUUAUUGAGUAAAUAGUUAGAGCCAAAGGGAACACUGUGAUAAAGCCUGUGUCAGCUGCCAUGUUGAUUUUCUACUGCUACUGUCAUAAUCACAAAGUUAGCAGUUAAAGCAACACCCAUUUUGCAGGCCAGUUCUCUGCUCUGGGUUUCACAAGGUGAUGGACGGGCUGUGUUCUUUUCCAGAGCUUCUGGGGAUGAAUUCGCUUCCAGGCUCAUUCAGGUUGUUGGCAGAAUUGAAUUCCAUGAGAUUAUAGGACUCAGGUCCGGUGUCCCUCCCAGCAAUCAGCCCAGGGUUGGUUGUUCUCAGGUUUUAGAGGCUGCCCACAUUCUUUUUGGGGUGGCAUCUUCCUCCUGCUUCAAAGCCAGCAAAGACCCUUCACAGUAGUUCCUCGAUUCACGUUAGAUUAAAUCAGCAGGGAGAAGGAAUUUUGUGGGGCAUCUUUUGAAUUCUGCCUUGUGCAGCUGCACUAUGCAAAUGAUUAGGAAAAACUGCAAGUUCUUAUUUUGAAGUAAUUUUCCAAGUGCCUGCAGUACAUCCUUACUCUCACUCCUGCUUAUCACUGGGAGGAUUUUAUAUGGAAAGCACUUCCCUGACUUUUUAGGAACUCCCUGUUUUGCCUGUGAUGAACCACUCAGCAUUUUCCCCCGCAUUAAAUUACAAUGACUUCAUUUGAAACAGAAAUGCCUCAAAUUUUGGGAUCUACUUAUGAUAGCCUUCCCUCUUGACCAGGACUCAAAGACUAUUUUGCCCUAAUGUGUCUUUGGUCAAUAAAAUGGAAUUUGGAGAGUUUGAGAAGGUACAUUUGUAAGUUCAAUCACUGUCUAGAAAGCAUGAAAAAAGAUAUUAGAAAAAAAUGUGUUGCUCUUGAGUAUUAUUGCCAUUGAUGAGUUCCACAGUGCUAGUAGACUAUAUUAGGAAUUUGAAUGAAACAGAAUUGAAUGAAUUCUAUUUUUACAAAAAUGAAUUGUACAUCACAGCUCACAAGUAUCCAAGAGCUAAAUUUGAAAUGUCAAAGGUUAUGUAAAUCUUAUAUGUUUAACUAACCCUCUAAUGAGAAAGACUCCCAACACUGAAGUCUCAAAUCGUUUUUGAGAACACUGAGGAGAGAAGCCACAUAAUUUGAGAGUGUCAUAACCGGGAGUCCUAGAAAGAGGAAGAUCAAACAGCCAAUGUGAAUUUAGGCCAUGAAAAGGUUUAAUUUAAAAGCUGAGAGCAAAAUCACAGUUCUCUCAUAAUUAUUAUAAGGAGAUGUUGGGUACCCUCACUCUGGCAGAGCUGUGGUGCCUAAUGAAAAGAGAGCAUUUCUCUCCUGCUUGGCUUAUUUUAUCCCUAAUCAGCAGCGGUACUUCAAAUUAGCUUCACAAUCUAUUGGCCUCUCUCAGCCAUAAAAGCCUCUUUUCUCUUUUGAUAUUAGCAUAGCUCCCCAUUGAAAGUAACAGAAAAAGAGCUCCUACUUGAAGGUUAUAUCCUUCCUUGUGGAUGGCCCACUUCAAAGGGUUCAUCACGUGGUCCAAAGAGAAGUAAAAAUAAGAUGAGGGGAGUGCAGCAGCUGUGUUUCUAAGACAAGAGGUUCUGAGCUGAAGAACACCACAUCGCUUAAGGUCAGGGCAGCUGGGAAGGUUGCAGUUCAGCCAAAAGAGGGCUGAAGUACUGAACUUGAAAACUCUAGAACCUGGGAAAUGUAAGCAUUAAACUCAGAGAUAUUUUAUAGAAAAAAAAACAGUUUUAUUUUAUAGAUUCAGUUCUGUAAUAUAGAUAUUGGAACAUUAAAAUGAUCUGAGGUAUUGACUUCAAAAUCCAUCAUUUGGGGUGUUGGAUUAUCUGUUAUUUACUUAACUCCACUAGCACCCAGCUAUGGAUAAAUUGUGUGUAAUAGUUGUGUUUUAUGAGAUCAAGAUUUUAAAAUGGUGACCACUG